rnacentral:rRNA from 1 species
UACGUAGGGUGCAAGCGUUAAUCGGAAUUACUGGGCGUAAAGCGUGCGCAGGCGGUUUUGUAAGUUUGUCGUGAAAGCCCCGGGCUCAACCUGGGAAUUGCGAUGAAGACUGCAAGGCUUGAAUCUGGCAGAGGGGGGUAGAAUUCCACGUGUAGCAGUGAAAUGCGUAGAGAUGUGGAGGAACACCGAUGGCGAAGGCAGCCCCCUGGGUCAAGAUUGACACUCAUGCACGAAAGCGUGGGGAGCAAACAGG